AAACCAAUUUUAUUUGUACCCUUUGAUUUUUCUUUACAAAGACGAAUGAUGUGCACAGUUGAUGACACAGUACAGUUUGUGGUUGUUAAGUUGUUCGUGAUGGCAGGGGAACAUUCUCCCCCUUAAACCAGGUCACAGUCCUGAGCAGAAUCUUCCAAACUCAUUGGAGAAUAUAACAUUACAUAACAUAGACCUUGUCUAUAGAGGGAGAGAGAGAGGUUGAUGAUCAAAGAUUCAAAAGAAAAGUAGCUGUAGCUUCCCUUGAUCAUCUUGUUUACAUCACUUUGAUUGCAAUCAACUUGUUCUGCUUUGGGUGAUGGGAAGUCACGGCAAAGGAAAAGACGGCGAAGGCACUUCUGGACUUAAAGAUGAUGACAAGUAUGAACCACAAUUGAGAUUCCAUACCCCAACAGCAACAGCACCACAGCGGCAAAUGCAAGAUGGAUAUGUAGAAAGAGUGGUACAUCAGAGAUUGAAACGUGUGAAUAUUACUUGGAACCAUCCAGUAAGCAGGGAUGUUGCUGUUAUAGGAUCAUGGGACAACUGGGAAACCAGAGACACCCUGCACUUGCAGUCUCCCCCUCAUCCUCAUGCUUAUGCCAUUGUUAAAGCACUUCCAACAGGUAUCUAUCAUUACCGUUUCAUUGUAGAUGGAUAUCUCACCCAUGCUCCAGAAUUCCCCUGGGCUUUUGAUCAUUCUGGUUUCCCCUACAACAUCUUGGAUUUGCAGGAUUAUAUUCCAGAAACGGCUGCAAGGUUAGAUGAUGCCCAAGAUCCUCCAUCCCCACCAUGGACUUAUGAUAACAUGCUCUUAAACGACGAUGAGUUUGGCAGGCCUCCGCCCGAGUUACCACCACAACUACCACUCACAACAAGAGAUGACCCUUCUUCUUCAUCCACGGUUCUUCCUAGACCCUCCCAUCUGGAACUCAAUCAUCUAUACAUCCACAAAACCGAUGGGGGUGACUUCGCCGCCCUGCGUUCCACGGAGAAGUUUGGACAGAAAUAUGUGAGCAUGGUGUUGUACAAGUCCCUCCCAAGGGAAAGAUGAUAAAAGAUUUUUGAGUUUGUGUAUUGUGUUUGAACUAUGCUGGGCUGAUGGGACCAUUUAUUUGUUUGUUAAGGAAGCAAUCCAAGGGUUCUCAAGUGGUAGGAGUUUGUUGGCAUACCAAAGACGAUGAUGUAUUAUAUCAGCGCACGGAAGCUGUUUGCUGAAAUGCCCCAAAGGAACACUGUUUCCUGGUCUUGUUUGAUUUCAGGAUAUGCACAAAUCACUAUGCCAUUGGUAGUGCCCUUCGAGCUUGCAAAGACGGAAGGCUUAAACUCGGCAUGGAUAUUCAUGCCUUAAUUUCUAAGUCUCGAUUCUCUUCAGACAUGCCCAUGUAUGAUGAUGCUCCUCGUGUCACAUCAUGGAAUUCUAUUGCCAUAGGGGGGGAUCCAACUUCUUGUCUCGUGGAAUUCUAUGAUCUCUGGCCUUGACCACAAUGAACAAUUUGAGGAAGCAGUUGCCUGUUUCAAUACAAUGAGGAGACAUGGAAUGGUGCCCUCAAAUUUCUCAGUUAUUAGCACUUUGAGUUCUUGUGCAAGCUUGGGUUGGAUCAUGUGCGGAACAUGUAUUCUUGGACUAGAGACUCGAAUAGAGCACUUGUCUUGUAUGGCAGACCUCCUUGGACAAGCUAGAUGACUUUAUCAAAACAAUGCCAAUGGAUGGAGAACAGUUUUAGGAGCAUGUUGCCAAGAUGCUUAUUGAGCCCCAGAAUGGUGUGAACUAUGUUCUACUUUCAAAAAUAAGGGAUGCUGGAUAUGUGCCUGAAGAUCUUGAACUUGAAAACAAACAAGAGCUGCUGAGCUAUCAUAGUGAAAAGUUGGCAAUUGCUUUUGUUCUCACUCGAAACUCUGAACUACCAAUCAGGAAUUCAGGAUAAUGAAGAAUUGUCACACUGCUCGAAGAAAUAUAGAAAUAGGCAAUAAGAUGCCAUUUUCGGAAACUUUGAGUAAUAAGAAAGGAGAGUGUCCUCAAGGACAGUUAACAGGUUAUGCUUUCAGUUUCUAUAUCUAAUUUGCUUACACCAAUCUGUUUGUGGGGUAGGGACCAUGAGUCCAAAAUAAAAAUGUUAUUCGUUAACAAUUUAA